GAGAAGCACAAGUGUUUCCUACAUGGGCUUUGUGGUGCGUUACACAAUGUCAGUUUAUGUUUGAAAUUCAAAUGCUCAUGAGAGUCGGAUCCUUUUUCAGUUGUUCUCAACGGUCCCAAAUAAAGCUGCACCCCUGGGGCAACAUGUGAGCCUGGGUCUCACGGGGCCAGGAAGGCUGUCCUUCCAGGAAGGGCUGCACAGAGCCUGGGAACGGCCAGCCAGCUCACAAGAAUGAAGAGAAUGUCGGGAGAGGAAGUGGUGGCUGUGAGUCAGCAUGAGUCACCUCGUUCCAAUGAGAAUGAAGACUGAGUUUCAAACCGAUUUUCCAGGCGGGCUGGGCCUGAGCCGGUGUCUGUCUCCUGGUCAUUGCUGCCUGCUCCUGGAAGGUGGAGCCACCAGCUUCUCCCUGGAAGGCUCUGCAUGUGAAGUCUUCGGCCCACAUCUGGAUUGUUAAAUGCAAGCUCACACCGGGAAGCUGGCUUUCCAGCUGACUCACCAGGGCGACGUUCUCCCCCGGAUGUUCGGGUCCACCGGGCUUCGCCGCUUGGAAAGCCCAGUGUUUCACUGCCGCUGGCAAAUGAGGCCUCUGAGAAAAGUGAUGCAGGCACUUGUGAAGGACUAGCUCCUGUCUACAGGACAUUGGGGGAAAGAUAUGGGAUAAGUCAAUACAGAGUUUGAAGAAAUAAAUACAGACGAUCCCCAAUGGCCGAGCGUGUCGGGACAACAAGGACUGUGUGAGACAAGCCUCGCUCCAGCAGCCUGCAGCCCACGGGAGCCCUUUGCAGAAGGGCCGGGCAGGGCUGCCCUGAGCAGCAUUCCUGCGGCCUAAGAAAGGCCUCUACUCCAGGAGUGUCUGGGGUGCACACAGUACCCUGUGUUCCACGUACUGGAGUGGCUAUCUCUCAGUGUGGUUGGCAGUGACCUGUGUUUUUCAUACAUGUUUUUGUUUCAGAAUAACUGGGAGAUGAAACAGGAAGCUCUAUGACACACUUGAUCGAAAAUGACACAGACCAAAAAAAAAAAAAAAAAAAAAAUCAGGACUCAGCCCCCUGCCAGUGCCUCUACCUGCUGCCUGCUGCCCACGCUGGGAUGCGGUGGCAGGCCUGCCCUGGACCUGACUGGCGGUGCGGACUUCAAGGGCCUCUGCGUUUGCUGAUAUGUGUCUGCAGUGUUAUGUCAUGGUCUCGUCUGGGUGGUUUCCUAUUUAUCUGGCUGUCUCUAUGUGUCUUAAUCCCUUUUUCUUCAUUAAAAGCAAAACUAUAAAAAAAAA